UGAAAGAUGUAAAUACCGUUGGUUGUACAGUGAAAUUUCGUUGUUUUAUGUUAAACCAACAAAAUUAAAUAAGUUGGUCCCAGUAUUCCUGAAAAAAUGACUGUUAACAAUACAAAUUGUUGUGUUUUUCGCUGCCAUAGCAAAAACAAUAGAAACAGUGGGCUCUCUUUUCAUAAAUUCCCCAUAAAAAACAAGUCAUUUGUUUAAAUGUUAUGAACAGGUUAGGAAUCAGGGAAAAAAUGGACAGAUAUAAGACUUGGAUGGUAAAGCUAAAUAUGGGAAAACCAGCAACAAAGCACAUGAAAGUGUGUUCACUACAUUGUAAUCAGGAUGAUUUCAUAUUGAGGAUUUGAUUUGAGGACCCAGGUGGGUUAGUUAGCUUCGUGCUUGCCCACUACACCUUGGGUCGUGGGUUCGAUUCCCGCCUUGCCUUUUGGGUGUUGUGUAUGUCAUGUUUCCUGUAAUUGGGCCUCCAGCUUGUUAGAGACAUCAUAGGAUAAAAUAAAUAAAAAUAAAAAUAUUACCUGAUGUAAGUAUCAUUACUAAAGAAUUACUACCUAGAAGGCCCAAAAAUCGAGACUUUAAAGCAGUCAGAAGUACAACAAUGAGAAAAUCUGAAGGUUACAUAAUUUCAAGUACAGAUAGUACUGAUGUAAAUUGCUUCGACAGCAGUCAGUUACAUCAAAAAACUGUUUCAACAUUAGAAAUGGAAACCGUGCAGGCUUUGUUACAUUUACAAAAUUCACAAAAAAAGGAUAAAAAUAUUCAAGUGACAAGUGGAGAUUUAGUGGCACCUUUUAUAAGUACACUUAAAUCUGAUAAUGAUUUAAAUACAAUGGCUGGAAUACCAUCCUUUCUGUUAUUUAAUGCUAUUGUUGCAAAUUGUGAGAUGUUUGGAAAAUUCUGUAAUAAACAUAAAUUAAACUUGAAAGAACGUGUUCUGUUAACUUUUAUGAAACUGAAAAAUACAUUUUCUUAUGCUGUUUUA